GAUGAACGCUGGCGGCGUGCUUAACACAUGCAAGUCGAACGGUGAACACGGAGCUUGCUUCGUGGGAUCAGUGGCGAACGGGUGAGUAACACGUGAGCAACCUGCCCUGGACUCUGGGAUAAGCGCUGGAAACGGCGUCUAAUACUGGAUAUGAGCCUCUAUCGCAUGGUGGGGGUUGGAAAGAUUUUUCGGUCGGGGAUGGGCUCGCGGCCUAUCAGCUUGUUGGUGAGGUAAUGGCUCACCAAGGCGUCGACGGGUAGCCGGCCGGAGAGGGUGACCGGCCACACUGGGACUGAGACACGGCCCAGACUCCUACGGGAGGCAGCAGUGGGGAAUAUUGCACAAUGGGCGGAAGCCUGAUGCAGCAACGCCGCGUGAGGGAUGACGGCCUUCGGGUUGUAAACCUCUUUUAGCAAGGAAGAAGCGAAAGUGACGGUACUUGCAGAAAAAGCGCCGGCUAACUACGUGCCAGCCGCCGCAGUAAUAC
rnacentral:rRNA from 1 species